rnacentral:rRNA from 1 species
AACCCAGUGUGUUUCGACACACUAUCAUUAACUGAAUCCAUAGGUUAAUGAGGCGAACCGGGGGAACUGAAACAUCUAAGUACCCCGAGGAAAAGAAAUCAACCGAGAUUCCCCCAGUAGCGGCGAGCGAACGGGGAGCAGCCCAGAGCCUGAAUCAGUGUGUGUGUUAGUGGAAGCGUCUGGAAAGGCGCGCGAUACAGGGUGACAGCCCCGUACACAAAAAUGCACAUGCUGUGAGCUCGAUGAGUAGGGCGGGACACGUGGUAUCCUGUCUGAAUAUGGGGGGACCAUCCUCCAAGGCUAAAUACUCCUGACUGACCGAUAGUGAACCAGUACCGUGAGGGAAAGGCGAAAAGAACCCCGGCGAGGGGAGUGAAAAAGAACCUGAAACCGUGUACGUACAAGCAGUGGGAGCACGCUUAGGCGUGUGACUGCGUACCUUUUGUAUAAUGGGUCAGCGACUUAUAUUCUGUAGCAAGGUUAACCGAAUAGGGGAGCCGAAGGGAAACCGAGUCUUAACUGGGCGUUAAGUUGCAGGGUAUAGACCCGAAACCCGGUGAUCUAGCCAUGGGCAGGUUGAAGGUUGGGUAACACUAACUGGAGGACCGAACCGACUAAUGUUGAAAAAUUAGCGGAUGACUUGUGGCUGGGGGUGAAAGGCCAAUCAAACCGGGAGAUAGCUGGUUCUCCCCGAAAGCUAUUUAGGUAGCGCCUCGUGAAUUCAUCUCCGGGGGUAGAGCACUGUUUCGGCAAGGGGGUCAUCCCGACUUACCAACCCGAUGCAAACUGCGAAUACCGGAGAAUGUUAUCACGGGAGACACACGGCGGGUGCUAACGUCCGUCGUGAAGAGGGAAACAACCCAGACCGCCAGCUAAGGUCCCAAAGUCAUGGUUAAGUGGGAAACGAUGUGGGAAGGCCCAGACAGCCAGGAUGUUGGCUUAGAAGCAGCCAUCAUUUAAAGAAAGCGUAAUAGCUCACUGGUCGAGUCGGCCUGCGCGGAAGAUGUAACGGGGCUAAACCAUG